rnacentral:rRNA from 1 species
ACGCCCUAAACGAUGUCGACUAGUUGUCGGGGAUUUACAUCCUCGGUAACGCAGCUAACGCGUGAAGUCGACCGCCUGGGGAGUACGGUCGCAAGAUUAAAACUCAAAGGAAUUGACGGGGACCCGCACAAGCGGUGGAUGAUGUGGAUUAAUUCGAUGCAACGCGAAAAACCUUACCUACCCUUGACAUGCCCGGAAUCUCGCAGAGAAGUGAGAGUGCCCGAAAGGGAGCCGGGACACAGGUGCUGCAUGGCUGUCGUCAGCUCGUGUCGUGAGAUGUUGGGUUAAGUCCCGCAACGAGCGCAACCCUUGUCACUAGUUGCUACGAAAGGGCACUCUAGUGAGACUGCCGGUGACAAACCGGAGGAAGGUGGGGAUGACGUCAAGUCCUCACGGCCCUUAUGGGUAGGGCUUCACACGUCAUACAAUGGCCGGUACAAAGGGCUGCCAACCCGCGAGGGGGAGCCAAUCCCAGAAAACCGGUCGUAGUCCGGAUUGCAGUCUGCAACUCGACUGCAUGAAGUCGGAAUCGCUAGUAAUCGCGGAUCAGCAUGUCGCGGUGAAUACGUUCCCGGGUCUUGUACACACCGCCCGUC